AGUCAUAUAGUAUGUACUUUCGUUUAAGUCUUCCUUCACUCAGUAUACUCAGUAUAAUGUUUUUGAGAUUUCAUCUUGUUAGUGUAUACAUAUUCAUAGCCCACUCCUUUUUUUUUUUUUUUGAGACGGAGUUUCGCUCUUGUUACCCAGGCUGGAGUACAAUGGUGCGAUCUCUGCUCACUGCAACCUCCGCCUCCUGGGUUCAGGCAAUUCUCCUGCCUCAGCCUCCUGAGAACGGCUUAAGGUAUGAAUAGCAGGUGGUAGAGAUCCUUGAGGACCAUCUAAGAGGCUGGCCAUAUGAAGACCGAAUGUCCUAACAAUUUAGCUAUUGGGAAUUCAAGGACAACAAGAAGAUAGAGAUUUUUGUCUCUAUGGUUGAUAAUACCUAAAUAAAAACUAAAACAAAAAAAACCUGGCACAUAGUAGAUGUCCAGUUAAUAUUAAAUAAAUGAAUUAAUUUUAAUAUUAAAGGAAACAAAUUGAUAUUAAAGGAACAUUAUUGUUAUCCUGCAGGAACAGGAUAAGAUCUGGGUAUUGGUUCCAUUUGUCUUCUUUACUAUAUUUUGCUUAAGAUUCAAUUGAUUUGCAUAUGAUCACUGACCAUAAGAGAAUCUUUUCUCUUAGUGGAAAAGAAAAUUAAAUUGAGAGUAUAAUAUUUGCUAGAUAAAAAUCUGCUUCUUCAAUUUGAAUGUCACACUUUAUUUUGCCUAGCUCUUCUUCUUUUUGAGUUUAGGAGCAGAGGUUUAUUUUUAUUUAUUUAAAAAACUUUAAGACAGAGUCUUGCUCCACCAUGCUGGAAUGCAGUAGUGUGAUCUUGGCUCACUGCAACCUCUGCCUCCCAGGUUCAAGCAAUUCUCCUGCCUCAGCUUCCUGAGUAGCUGGGACUACAGGCAUGUGCAACCAUGGCCAGCUGAUUUUUGUAUUUUUAGUAGAGAUGGGAGUUCACCAUGUUGGCCAGGCUGGUCUCGAGCUUCUGAACUCAUGAUCCACCUUGGCCUCCCAAAGUGCUGGGAUUACAGUUGUGAGCCACAGGAGCAGAGAUUUAAAAGAAAAGAAAGAGAAAGGAGAGCAGCCCUCUUUCUCUCGUGAGAGAGAGGGGUGUCUGAAAGGGAAAUGCCUGCAUAGCUCCUGAGAAUCAUCAAUUAGUGGGUAUUCAAGAAGUGGAUAAUUUUUUAGAAAAGUGGAAAAGUCAGAAACAGUGCAUUACUAGCGCUAUUCUAAGCAAAAUAGUAAAUUAGGUACAGAUUUCUAGUAUGAUUGGACACCUGAGACUGAAGUAACCAAUGCCUAACUGCUAGACUUGGUCACUUCUUCUGCAAAAUGAUUAAACCUUCAGAUUUACUUUACCCUAAAACUCGACUAACAGAACAUGUCAGAUGAAGAACUAAGACUGACUCUUCAGUGGGGACAAGCCAUUCAGAAUCCAUGGAACCAGGAUUCUCAUUCAAUAUUAUACUGGUCAGGGUUCUCCAGUGAAACAGAACCAAUAGGAUAGAUGUAUACAGACAGGUAGAUAGAUAAUUGGAUAGAUAGAUACAAUGAGAUUUAUUAUGAGGAAUUGAAUGUAUUAUGAUUAUGGUGGAUGAGAAGUCCCACAAUCUGCCAUUCACCAAUGGGAGACCCAGAAAAGCCAGUGAUGUAAAUCAGUUUGAGUUCAAAGGCCUAAGAACCAGAGAAGCCAAUGUAGUAAAUCCCAUCCAUGGGCAGGAGAAGAUGAGAUGAGAUAUCCAUGCUCAAGCAGUGAGACAGAAAAAAGGAGCAAAUUCCUCCUCCUUUCGUGGCCUUUUGUUAUAUUCAAGCCCUCAGUGGAUUGAAUGAUGCUCAUUCUCAGUGGGAAGGCAAUCCACCUACUGAACCCAACAAUUUAAAUGCUAAGGUCAUCCAGAAACACCCCCACAGACACACCCAGAAGUAAUGUUUAAUCUGGGCAUCCUGUGGUCCAGUCAAGUUGACAUAGAAUUAACCAUCAUAAGUAAUCAUAAAUAUUAAUAAUUGUAAUUGAUACUAUGACUUAAGCACCUUAAAGUAUGCUUUACAUACUUUUCCUCAACUUUAACAUGGAAGAGUCAUGGGGUACCUACCUAGCUCACUUCAAUUUCCUUUUCCUGAGACCCAUCCUUACCCAGAUAUAGGUCCCAUAACUGUGUUGCUACUAUGGGGCUCCAUCUCCCUGGCCACAGCUGAUUGAAUUAGAGGGCGAUACUUGACAAAAAGGAGCAAAGCAGAUUCUAUUUCCACUAUACUUUGAAAUGGUGCCUAAAGACUAGUGUAUCAGUCACUUGAACAGAAGAGUUAUGAAGAGCUAUAGAGUGAGCAUCUUCCUCAUGUGGAAGGAUGAGAGAUGGACGGAGUACCUGUUGGGUGCUUGCUUGUCACAUUGUUCAGAUCCUAUUGAGACUAAUCUACCCUUUGGGUCCAUUUGAUAACUCAGUGCACUUCCCCAAAAAUUCUUUUUUGUUGCAUAAAGCUGGUUCAAAUUAUACUUGCUUCCUAUAUCAAACCUGUUUUAUAGAUGAGAACCAUGAGAAGUUGAGUAGCUUGCACAGGGCUACUGGCACAGGGCAGCAGAGCUGAGAUUAAAUCAACAUCAUAUUGACUCUCGAGCUUGUUAUUUAUCUCCUAUGCCAUUAGAAGAAAGUGUUUCCUUUUCUCCGCUAACUUAGAAUGCUCAGACUCCUGUAAAGUUAAUUAUAGCCACGUGACUUGCUUUGGUGAAAGAAACAUACACAGAGGUGACAUGAUUCAUUCAUUCUUAGUGGAGAUACUGAUUGCCAGCGCUUAGCUCUCCAUGCUGUUUCUUUUCCAGCACCUCCGAGAGCACAUCACAGUAUGGAGGAAACAUAAGAUCAAAGAAGCAUCCAACACUGAGCUAUCGCAUGGAGAACACCUGCCCGGGAAGCCACCUAAACUGACAGUGGGCUUCUCACGAGAAAUAAAAUUUGUUGUUUUGGGACUCCAAGAUUUUGGAGGUUUCUUUGUUUGACAUUGUCUAUCUCAUCCUACUAUAGUUAACUAACAACAUCUUAUGCUCCAGGCCGACUUCUGUCUUUGAUUUCAUAUUAAAUUAAUUCCAACUUCCUCUUCUCUUAGAGCAUAAUUUCAGUUAUAUAUGGCUGCAUAACAAACCACUCCAAAGCUGAAAACAACAAUAAAUUAUUAUUUCUCAUAAUUCUGUUUAACGAUAACCCAUGAGGAGCAAGUGAAGUCACCCAUAUUUUACAAAGGAGACUGGAGCUCAGAACUCUGGACACCUCAGAUCACACAACUAGUAAAUGGGAGAAGGGAAACUGCAGCUCAUGUCUGAUUACUGCAAGGCCUGUGUUUUUUGUUUUUUAGCAUUAAUGUGUCACAGUUACUCUGGCCAGCACACCCUGUGUUAUCUAACAAUGAUUUCCAUGUUCAAUCUUUUCAGGUUUUGAAAAUUGCUCUAUUCACAAAUGAAUAAGAAAAUAAUCCAUUAAAAUAUUUUUUCUAGAGCUUAGAUUAUUUAUAGGUUUUUUAAUUUGGAGGGACGUACCUAAUUCUUAGAGACCUUGAUAAUGAACCUGUAACAGAGCUAUUAGCAAUGUUUACUUACUGUAAAACAUUACCCAGCUAAGCCAGGUGGUUGUUUGGAAGUACACACCUAUGCAAACCCCGAACGGGGAGUUAUUUAGAUUUUGCAGUGCCCAGAUUUUCUUCUCAGGGAUAGAGCUU
ensembl:lncRNA